UUACAUUUAAAAUGUACUUCC
rnacentral:snRNA from 1 species